AGACGGAGGUGGCAAACGCUGUUCGGAAUCACUGGGCUUAAAGCGCGCGCAGGCGGCCCGCUAAGUCAGAUGUGAAAUCCCUCGGCUCAACCGAGGACCUGCAUUUGAAACUGGCAGGCUAGAGUACAGGAGAGGGAAGUGGAAUUCCUAAUGUAGCGGUGAAAUGCGCAGAUAUUAGGAAGAACACCGGUGGCGAAGGCGGCUUCCUGGACUGUUACUGACGCUGAGGUGCGAAAGCUAGGGGAGCAAACAGGAUUAGAAACCCCAGUAGUCC
rnacentral:rRNA from 1 species